rnacentral:lncRNA from 1 species
GAGGUCAUUUAUCUCUUUCUGUAGCUGAUAUAGUUUGCAUCCAUUGGUUUGAUCAUACCUUUCUUCCAACUCUGCCCAAAGUUCAUGAGCAUUGUUUACAUACUGCAGACUGUCACGUAGAUCAGGAGAUAAUGAAUUCAGGAUCCAAGAAGUUACCAUAUCAUCACACCUUUCCCAUUGCAGAAAACCAGGAUCAGUAGGAGCAGGUCGUACAAGUGUUCCAUUGAUGAAUCCUGUUUUGCUUUUCACUGAUAGAGCUCUAAGUACAGCUCUUCUCCAAGAUCUGUAACCUGUACCAUCAAAACUGCAGGCAAUAGAGAAGAUCCAGCACUUUCUGAUGGAUGCAAGUAAAGAGGACUGGCAAAAUCUAUUCGAACUGAUGUGGGAUCAGCAUGAAGAUGAGAGGAACUCGAAUUAGCUUCAGCUUGGAGAUCAACCAUAUUGAGAAUCGCAAAGAGAUUCAAUCACUCGACAAUCAACCAAUAA